CUUGCCUAAAUUUAAUAGAUAUGAGGUAAUGAAAUUGACCCAUUAAUGAGAGCUACUUUGGUAAUCAUUUUGGACUUCCCUAUGGUUAAUGACAAUAGUGGAACGAUGAGUGAUUUUUGUCCUUAAUAGAUAGUCCGAAUGGGUCGUAUAUGCCUUUUUUGGCAGGUUAAAUAUCAAUAGGAAUUUUUGUAAUGUCUAAGAAAACUGGUCACGUUAAGUGGUUCAACGAAAGUAAAGGUUUUGGAUUUAUCACCCCAACCGACGGCAGCAAGGACGUGUUCGUACACUUCUCUGCUAUCGCUGCUGAUGGAUUCAAGACUCUGGCAGAAGGCCAGCACGUUGAAUUUUCUAUUCAAGACAGCCCACGUGGCCCGUCUGCUGCCAACGUUGUAGCCCUAUAAGGUGUCACCCAGCAGCCAAAAACCCGCCUUCGGCGGGUUUUUUAUU
rnacentral:sRNA from 1 species